rnacentral:rRNA from 1 species
AUUGAACGCUGGCGGCAGGCCUAACACAUGCAAGUCGAACGAGUGGCGGACGGGUGAGUAAUGCCUGGGAAACUGCCUGAUGGAGGGGGAUAACUACUGGAAACGGUAGCUAAUACCGCAUACCAUCGGAUGAGCCCAGAUGGGAUUAGCUAGUUGGUGGGGUAAAGGCUCACCAAGGCGACGAUCCCUAGCUGGUCUGAGAGGAUGACCAGCCACACUGGAACGGAGACACGGCCCAGACUCCUACGGGAGGCAGCAGUGGGGAAUAUUGCGCAAUGGGGGCAAGCCUGACGCAGCCAUGCCGCGUGAAUGAAGAAGGCCUUCGGGUUGUAAAGUACUUUCGGUAGCGAGGCGUUAACCACAGAAGAAGCACCGGCUAACUCCGUGCCAGCAGCCGAGGUAAUUC